AAGAGUGCUGACAUCUCUAUUGGAAAUAUAACACUUAAAUACUAAUGUUAUCGACGGUGCAUUGAUUUUACCGACAGAUGCAAGGGUUAUGGAGUUAACGAAUUCGAGUUUGAGUUGAACAGACACGAAGAGAAGAUCAGUAAUCGUUGUAACGAUGAGAAAUGCUAAUUUCCGCGUAUGUAUUUUAUUCCGGGAAUAUUCUGAAUGCUCAGACAUAAGUAUGUUAUGUCGCCGGCACGAAAUUGGAACGGGGACAGUCGCAUAAUGUUGCUGCUUGCAUCCUUACAAACGAGCGCAAAGGUCACCCUGCUCCCUGAAGAAGUCAACUGAAAUGUUCACGAAACGUUGGAGCCAAGUAUGAAAGACACGGAAGACGCGGUCCAAGCCCGGAAAACGAACGAAAUCAAAGCGACGACUUGUCUAUUUCAUCCGAUAGAAAAAGACCGUUAGAUAAGGGCAUAUUCUUCAGGGUCCUCGUCAAAAGUGUACUCACACUAUUUAAACCCACAUAACGCGAGUCAAUUCGAGACGAUGUCGUUUACCCCGUGGGACUCUCAACGUGGAGCUACGAUCGGGCAGAUUGGUGGCUGGCCGAGGAUGAGGAGAAAAGGAUGGAUAAAGGCGAGCGAAAGAGCGAGCGAACGAGUGAGCUGCGUGCGUACGUAGGAGUGAAGGAAAGAAGAGGAGAGAAGGCGGAAAGCAGAAGGAGAC